UACGAAGGGGGCGAGCGUUGUUCGGAAUUACUGGGCGUAAAGGGCGCGUAGGCGGACAGUUAAGUCGGGGGUGAAAGCCCGGGGCUCAACCUCGGAAUUGCCUUCGAUACUGGCUGUCUUGAGUACGGGAGAGGUGUGUGGAACUCCGAGUGUAGAGGUGAAAUUCGUAGAUAUUCGGAAGAACACCAGUGGCGAAGGCGACACACUGGCCCGUUACUGACGCUGAGGCGCGAAAGCGUGGGGAGCAAACAGG
rnacentral:rRNA from 1 species